rnacentral:rRNA from 1 species
GUACACGCUGUGACUAGCAUAUCAAUAAGCGGAGGAAAAGAAACUAACAAGGAUUCCCUCAGUAACGGCGGAGUGAAGCGGGAAGAGCUCAAAUUUGAAAUCUUGAAAGGUCACCUUUCACGAAUUGUAGUUUAAAGAAGUGUUUUCUGUUACGAUCGUAAUAUAAGUUCUUUGGAAUAGGACAUCACAGAGGGUGAGAAUCCCGUCUAUGAUUGCGAUUUGUAGCUUUGUGAUACACUUUCAAAGAGUCGGGUUGUUUGGGAAUGCAGCCCAAAGCGGGAGGUAAAUUUCUUCUAAGGCUAAAUAUUGGCGAGAGACCGAUAGCGAACAAGUACCGUGAGGGAAAGAUGAAAAGAACUUUGAAAAGAGAGUUAAAUAGUACGUGAAAUUGUCAAAAGGGAAGCGUUUAACACCAGUGUUGUUUUCUGAAAAUCAACCUCUGUUAGCUUUAUGCAUGUUUGUUUAGACCUAAUCAGCUAUCUUGCAUGUUCUAUUGUUUGCAGUGGUGCACUUUUCAGUUUACAGGUCAACAUCAGUUUUUUUUACCGUAAAAAAGUUAAAGAAAGGUAGCUCAUGGCUCCGGUCGUGAGUGUUAUAGUCUUUUUCCUAUGCGGUAGGAGAGACUGAGGUCUGCAGUGUAGGCUAUUUGGCUAGAUACUCAGGUGCUAUGUGAUACCAUUUCAUAAACAACUUGUUGAUUAUGUUUUGUCUAUUGCAUACUCGCUUGUACUAUCAUACCUACGCUUAGGAUGUUGAGUAGCGACAUACGCAC